rnacentral:rRNA from 1 species
AACGUAGGUCACAAGCGUUGUCCGGAAUUACUGGGUGUAAAGGGAGCGCAGGCGGGAGAACAAGUUGGAAGUGAAAUCCAUGGGCUCAACCCAUGAACUGCUUUCAAAACUGUUUUUCUUGAGUAGUGCAGAGGUAGGUGGAAUUCCCGGUGUAGCGGUGGAAUGCGUAGAUAUCGGGAGGAACACCAGUGGCGAAGGCGGCCUACUGGGCACCAACUGACGCUGAGGCUCGAAAGUGUGGGUAGCAAACAGG